rnacentral:rRNA from 1 species
AUUGAACGCUGGCGGCAUGCUUUACACAUGCAAGUCGAACGGCAGCACGGGAGCUUGCUCCUGGUGGCGAGUGGCGGACGGGUGAGUAAUGCAUCGGAACGUGUCCUAAAGUGGGGGAUAACGCAUCGAAAGAUGUGCUAAUACCGCAUAUUCUCUCAGGAGGAAAGCAGGGGAUCGCAAGACCUUGCGCUUUUGGAGCGGCCGAUGCCUGAUUAGCUAGUUGGUAGGGUAAAGGCCUACCAAGGCGUCGAUCAGUAGUUGGUCUGAGAGGACGACCAGCCACACUGGGACUGAGACACGGCCCAG